rnacentral:Y_RNA from 1 species
GGCUGGCCUGAAGGUAGUUGAGUUAUCUCAACUGAUUGUUCACAGUUAGUUACAGAUUGAACUCCUUGUUCUACUUCUUCCUCCCUUGCUACUGCACUUGACUAGUCUUAA